GGAGGGAUGGGUGAGUGGCUGAAACCAGCGGUUUGCUAAACCGUCGUGCAGGGUCAACCUGCACCGAGGGUUCGAAUCCCUCUCCCUCCGCCA
rnacentral:tRNA from 1 species